ACAGCAGUCGCCACGGUAAUACGAAGGGUGCAAGCGUUAAUCGGAAUUACUGGGCGUAAAGCGUGCGUAGGCGGUUUGUUAAGUCUGCUGUGAAAUCCCCGGGCUCAACCUGGGAAUGGCAGUGGAUACUGGCAAGCUAGAGUGUGUCAGAGGAUGGUGGAAUUCCCGGUGUAGCGGUGAAAUGCGUAGAGAUCGGGAGGAACAUCAGUGGCGAAGGCGGCCAUCUGGGACAACACUGACGCUGAGGCACGAAAGCGUGGGGAGCAAACAGGAUUAGAGACCCCCGUAGUCCCUGUCUCUUAUAC
rnacentral:rRNA from 1 species